GAUGAACGCUGGCGGCGUGCCUAAUACAUGCAAGUCGAGCGAACAGACGAGGAGCUUGCUCCUCUGACGUUAGCGGUGGACGGGUGAGUAACACGUGGAUAACCUACCUAUAAGACUGGGAUAACUUCGGGAAACCGGAGCUAAUACCGGAUAACAUGUUGAACCGCAUGGUUCAACAGUGAAAGACGGUCUUGCUGUCACUUAUAGAUGGAUCCGCGCCGCAUUAGCUAGUUGGUAAGGUAACGGCUUACCAAGGCAACGAUGCGUAGCCGACCUGAGAGGGUGAUCGGCCACACUGGAACUGAGACACGGUCCAGACUCCUACGGGAGGCAGCAGUAGGGAAUCUUCCGCAAUGGGCGAAAGCCUGACGGAGCAACGCCGCGUGAGUGAAGAAGGUCUUCGGGUCGUAAAACUCUGUUAUUAGGGAAGAACAAAUGUGUAAGUAACUAUGCACGUCUUGACGGUACCUAAUCAGAAAGCCACGGCUAACUACGUGCCAGCCGCCGCGGUAAAAC
rnacentral:rRNA from 1 species